rnacentral:lncRNA from 1 species
UAAGAAAUCCAAAAUAAAUCUUAAAAGAAUCCUAAAGAAAUACUAAAAUAAUCAUAAAUAUAUCUUAAAUAAAUCUCAACUAAGUCCUAAUUUAAUCCUAAUUUAAAAAUUAAUGGAAUUCAAUCAAAUCUUAGAAAAAAUCCUAAAUCUUAGAUAAACUUUUAAUCCUAAAUCCUAAGUAAAUCCUAAAUCCUAAAUCCUAAG